GAUGAACGCUGGCGGCGUGCCUAACACAUGCAAGUCGAGCGAUCUUCUUCGGGAGAGAGCGGCGGACGGGUGAGUAACGCGUGGGUAACCUGCCUCAUACACAUGGAUAACAUACCGAAAGGUAUGCUAAUACAAGAUGAUAUAAGAGAUUCGCAUGGAUUUCUUAUCAAAGCUUUUGCGGUAUGAGAUGGACCCGCGUCUGAUUAGCUAGUUGGUAAGGUAAUGGCUUACCAAGGCGACGAUCAGUAGCCGACCUGAGAGGGUGAUCGGCCACAUUGGAACUGAGACACGGUCCAAACUCCUACGGGAGGCGGCAGUGGGGAAUAUUGCACAAUGGGCGAAAGCCUGAUGCAGCAACGCCGCGUGAGCGAUGAAGGCCUUCGGGUCGUAAAGCUCUGUCCUCAAGGAAGAUAAUGACGGUACUUGAGGAGGAAGCCCCGGCUAACUACGUGCCAGCAGCCGCCGUAAGAC
rnacentral:rRNA from 1 species